rnacentral:rRNA from 1 species
GAUGAACGCUGGCGGCGUGCCUAAUACAUGCAAGUCGAGCGAACAGACGAGGAGCUUGCUCCUCUGACGUUAGCGGCGGACGGGUGAGUAACACGUGGAUAACCUACCUAUAAGACUGGUAUAACUUCGGGAAACCGGAGCUAAUACCGGAUAAUAUAUUGAACCGCAUGGUUCAAUAGUGAAAGACGGUUUUGCUGUCACUUAUAGAUGGAUCCCCGCCGCAUUAGCUAGUUGGUAAGGUAACGGCUUACCAAGGCAACGAUGCGUAGCCGACCUGAGAGGGUGAUCGGCCACCCUGGAACUGAGACACGGUCCAGACUACUACGGUAGGCCGCAGUAGGGAAUCUUCCGCAAUGGGCGAAAGCCUGACGGAGCAACGCCGCGUGAGUGAUGAAGGUCUUCGGAUCGUAAAACUCUGUUAUUAGGGAAGAACAACUGUGUAAGUAACUAUGCCCGUCUUGACGGUAACUAAUCAGAAAGCCCCGGCUAACUACGUG